rnacentral:rRNA from 1 species
GACGAACGCUGGCGGCGUGCCUAAAACAUGCAAGUCGAACGGUGUAGCAAUACACAGUGGCGAACGGCGGAGUAAUACAUAAGCAACGUGCCCUGAAGACUGGGAUAGUCAGAGGAAACUCUGGGUAAUACCAGAUGUGGUCCCUUUCCGGCAUCGGAGAGUGAUUAAAUGGUUUUUCGCUUCUGGAGCGGCUUAUGGCCUAUCAGGUAGUUGGUGGAGGUAACGGCUCACCAAGCCGACGACGGGUAGCGGGUCGUGAGAGGAUGAUCCGCUCGAGUGGGACGUGAGACACGGCCCACCACACCUACGGGUGGGCAGCAGUUGGGUAAGUCUUGCACAAUAGGACGAAAGUACUGAUGCAGCGACACCGCGUGGAGGAUGAAGG